AAUAGCGGCGGACGGGUGAGUAACGCGUGAGCAAUCUGCCCUAUACAGGGGGAUAACACAGGGAAACUUGUGCUAAUACCGCAUAAAAUACCGAUAUGGCAUCAUAAUGGUAUCAAAGGAGAAAUCCGGUAAAGGAUGAGCUCGCGUCCGAUUAGCUAGUUGGUGGGGUAAAGGCCUACCAAGGCGACGAUCGGUAGCCGAACUGAGAGGUUGAUCGGCCACAUUGGGACUGAGACACGGCCCAGACUCC
rnacentral:rRNA from 1 species